rnacentral:miRNA from 1 species
UAGCCCUUACCCCCCCAACUAG